rnacentral:rRNA from 1 species
UGCAAGUCGAACGGUCGUUGCCCUCGGGCUUCGAUAGUGGCAAACGGGUGCGUAACGCGUAAAUAACCUGCCCCCCACUGGGAAAUAGCUUGGCGAAAGCGGAGGUAAUGUCCCAUAGUCUUUUGUGCUCACCUGGGCGCAUCAGUAAAGGCCUCGGCCGGUGGGGGAGGGAUUUGCGUCUGAUUAGCUAGUUGGCGGGGUAGUAGCCCACCAAGGCCGUGAUCAGUAGGGGCUCUGAGAGGAGGGUCCCCCACAUGGGCACUGCGACACGGGCCCAACUCCUACGGGAGGCAGCAGUAGGGAAUAUUGGGCAAUGGGCGAGAGCCUGACCCAGCCAUGCCGCGUGCAGGACGAAGGCCCUCUGGGUUGUAAACUGCUUUUAUCUGGGAAGAAGAGCAGCGCUGCGGCGCUGUGUGACGGUACCAGAGGAAUCAGCACCGGCUAACUCCGUGCCAGCAGCCGCGGUAAUACGGAGGGUGCAAGCGUUGUCCGGAUUUAUUGGGUUUAAAGGGUGCGUAGGUGGCCGGUUAAGUCAGCUUUGAAAGUGGGUCGCUUAACGACACAGGGUGGGUUGAUACUGGCCGGCUUGAAGGAGGGGGAGGUUACUGGAACGGGUCGUGUAGCGGUGAAAUGCAUAGAUAUGACCCAGAACUCCAAUUGCGUAGGCAGGUGGCUACCCCUUUAUUGACACUGAGGCACGAGAGCAUGGGGAGCAAACAGGAUUAGAUACCCUGGUAGUCCAUGCCGUAACGAUGAUAACUGACUGUGUGCGUUUCGGCGUGCGUGGUUAAGCGAAAGC